GGGGGGGGGGGGCGGGGGGCGGGGGGGAGGGGGGUCGGGGGGGGGGGGGGUGGGGGGGUGGGGUGCUCGGGGGGCGAGCGGGGGAGUAACACGUGAGUAACCUGCCCUUGACUUUGGGAUAACUUCAGGAAACUGGGGCUACUACCGGAUAGGAGCUCCUGCUGCAUGGUGGGGGUUGGAAAGGUUCGGCGGUUGGGGAUGGACUCGCGGCUUAUCAGCUUGUUGGUGGGGUAGUGGCUUACCAAGGCUUUGACGGGUAGCCGGCCUGAGAGGGUGACCGGCCACAUUGGGACUGAGAUACGGCCCAGACUCCUACGGGAGGCAGCAGUGGGGAAUAUUGCACAAUGGGCGGAAGCCUGAUGCAGCAACGCCGCGUGCGGGAUGACGGCCUUCGGGUUGUAAACCGCUUUCGCCUGUGACGAAGCGUGAGUGACGGUAAUGGGUAAAGAAGCACCGGCUAACUACGUG
rnacentral:rRNA from 1 species